rnacentral:lncRNA from 1 species
AGACCUUCGGAAAGUUGGAAAACGGCAACAGCUCAUCCUCCCCUCUUCUCUGUCUCCCUCCAAGGGGUCAGGACGGGAGACACCUUCAGAAGUGUGCCCAGCAUCGUUGGGUUCUAAUACCAAGGAAGUGAGGUCGCAUCCUCAAAGUUCCUCUACAGUUAGGAGCUAGCGCAAGAAGAAUGCUAGAAUGAAAACUGAAGUGCAAAGUUCCACACAAUUCUGAAGAGCUUGUUUGGUUUUUAACAUCAAAUUUUCCUCGGAGAAAGUUUAGGUCUUUCCAGGACCUUUCAUCAGAACCGGAAUACACUUUCUAGGCCAAAGUGCUAUUCUCUGUACAGGUAUCAUAGAGUUGUGCUCCUGAAAUCAGCAAUGAGGAGAAGCCAGACUUUGAUUUGGAUGGUAUUCGAUGUAAAUCUGAGUGGAGUGCACUGCCAAACUGACAGAAUUCUAGCUGGAUUCUGUGAGAAAGAACUGCUCAGUACGUCAUAAUCUUCCAUUGACUUGCAUGGAAGACUUGGAGCUAGAAAUAUGGUUGAAUGAAAAAUGAAGUGCAAACUGCCGGGCAAUUCUGAACAGUGUAUUUAUCUUCUAACAUCAAGUUUUUCUUAGGACAAAUUUGAGGACUUUCCAGGAUCUGCCUUUCAGCAGAAACUCAAUGCAAUUUCUAGACCAAAGUGCUAUCCAUGGUACAGGCCUCGUAGAGAUGUGCUACAAAAAUCAGCAAUGCAGAGAACCAGAAUGUGAUAUGAAAGUUAUUGCAGGUAACUCCAAGAGUGGAGUGCACUAUCAAAUGGACAGAGCUCUAACUUCUUUCUUUGAAAAGGAACUGCACUUUAUGUCAUAACCUUCCUUUGAUUUACAUGAGUUAUGGCUAGAAGUAUGCUUGAAUGAAAACUCAAUUGCAACGUGCCAGACCAUUCUGAACAGUGCAUUUGACUUGUAACACGAAGUUCUUCUAAAGACAAAGAUGAGGACUUUCCACGACCUGUCCUUCAGCAGAACCUCACUGCACUUGCUAGGACAAAUUGCUAUUUAUGGUACUGCCCUCUUAGAGACAGAUUGUGAUGUGAAAGAUACUGGCUGUUACUCCAAGAGUGGAGGCCAAUGCAAACCUGACAGAGCUCUAGUUUCUUUGUCUCAGAAGAAACUGCAUUUCAUAUCAUUAGCUUCCAUUGACCUGCAUUGGAGAGCUGGGGCUACAAGAAUGCUUGAAUUAAAAUAGAAGAGCAAACUGCCUGUCCAUUCUGAAGAGAGUGUUUGACUUCUAAACUCAACUUUUCUUAGGACAAAGUUGAGUACUUUCCGGAACCUGUCUUUCAGGAGAACCUGAAUUCAGGCCAAAGUACUCUUCAUGGUACAGGACUCAUAGAUAUGUGCUAUACAAAUCAGCAAUGGAGAGAGCCACAUUGUAAUGUGAAUGGUGUUGGAUGUAAUUAAAAGAGUGGAGUACACUUCCAAACUACCAGCACUCUAGCUGCUUUCUUUGAGAAGGAACUGAAUGUUAUAUCUUAACCUUUCAUAGAGUUACAUGGCACAGCUAGUGCUAGAAAAAUGCUUGAAAGAAAACUGAAAUGCAAACUACGGUGCCAUUCUGAACAGUGGGUUUCUCCUUUAACAUCAAGUUUAUCUUAGUACAAAAUUGAGGACUUUCCAGGAGCAGUCUUUUAGCAGAACUUCAAUGCACUUUCUAGGUCAAAGUACUCUUCAUCCUACAGGCCUCAAAGACAUUUGCUACCGAAAUCAACAAUGCAGAGAGCCCGAUAGUGAUGUGAGUGGUAUUAGAUGCACCUCCAACAGUGGAGUGUAUUCCCACAGUGACAGUGUUAUAUCUGCAUUCUCUGAGCAGAAACU